rnacentral:rRNA from 1 species
GACGAACGCUGGCGGCGUGCCUAAUACAUGCAAGUAGAACGCUGAAGGAGGAGCUUGCUCUUCUGGAUGAGUUGCGAACGGGUGAGUAACGCGUAGGUAACCUGCCUGGUAGCGGGGGAUAACUAUUGGAAACGAUAGCUAAUACCGCAUAACAGUAGAUGUUGCAUGACAUUUACUUAAAAGGUGCAAUUGCAUCACUACCAGAUGGACCUGCGUUGUAUUAGCUAGUUGGUGGGGUAACGGCUCACCAAGGCGACGAUACAUAGCCGACCGGAGAGGGGGAUCGGCCACACUGGGACUGAGACAGGGCCCAGACUCCUACGGGAGGCAGCAGUAGGGAUACGUCGGCAAUGGACGGAAGUCUGACCGAGAAACGCCGCGUGAGUGAAGAAGGUUGUCGGAUCGUAAAGCUCUGUUGUAAGAGAAGAACGAGUGUGAGAGUGGAAAGUUCACACUGUGACGGUAGCUUACCAGAAAGGGACGGCUAACUACGUG